GACGAACCGAGCGAACGUUAUUCGGAAUCACUGGGCUUAAAGGGCGCGUAGGCGGGCCAUCAAGUCAGGGGUGAAAGCCUCCAGCUCAACUGGAGAAGUGCCUCUGAUACUGGUGGUCUCGAGGGAGGUAGGGGCGUGCGGAACUUCCGGUGGAGCGGUGAAAUGCGUAGAUAUCGGAAGGAACACCGGUGGCGAAAGCGGCGCGCUGGACCUCUUCUGACGCUGAGGCGCGAAAGCCAGGGGAGCGAACGGGG
rnacentral:rRNA from 1 species